AGUUUAUAUCGAUUUAAAUAUUAAUAUGGUUAUAUUAUUAUGGUUAUAUAUAUUUAAAUAUUAAUAUGAAAUUAGAAUUAAGAUACGCAUUUCAGUAGCAGGAAAUAAACAUCUAUCUAACAGAAAUAAAUAAUUUACUAUAUUUUUUAAAUAUUAUUUUUUGGGAUUUUAUAUUUAUAAAUAUUGAGUAAUAACUUUUGUUAAUAUGUAGUAUGAUAUUAAGAUUUAGCUACUGGAAUAUUUACUUUAUAUUGAGUAUUGCUUAUACAGUGUCCCUAAAAUUUUGACAAAGCGCUUGUGUGCAGGUAGAGCGGACUAAACUGAAUCGAAAAGUCCUGUACUAUUUUGCAAUUUUCGCAACAGUUAACGAGUUAUUAAUUACUGAAGAUCGCCGAAUAAGCGUGUAUCCGUCCAGUCUACCGCUGAGCGCUUUGUCAAAAUUUUAGGGACACCCUAUACAUAACAUUUAAGUAUGCGCGCGCGUGUGUGUGUGUGUGUGUGUAUUCAUUAAUUUUCUUUAUCUAUAAUAGAUGAAGAUUCCAAUAUUCCAAAGGACAAAUGCAUUCAUUCCAAGGACUUUGUUGAAUUUGUAAAAAAAAAAUCCACUUACAUUAUUUUGAAAUGUUUCAGAAGUCUAGAAUUUGAAGAGAUUGAAAGCAGAAUUUUUUCAAUUUCUUUAAAAAAAAAUAAUCUUAAGAAGAAUUGGUUGAAAGAGAAGGAAUUGCCAUUCUCUUCCAACAACGUGGAUGAUCAAUACUUGGAUGGUAUUGAAAUAAAUAUGUGAGUUUGACAGAUUAUACAGCUUUUGUGGAAGUUCUUUCAGAUUAUACCGAUUAUAUAUAUGAAAAUAUAUAAUAUAUAUAUAUUAUAUAUAUGAAAACUAGAGAUGACAAUAUGAAAAUUCUGUUGUAUGCACACACAGGUCUCACAGAUCAAUAAGAUAUCAAGAUGAACGUCGAAUAACUAAUAAUUAUGAGCACAAGAGAAGACAUCGAAGUAGGUCGAAGAGUAGAGAAGAGAAAGAUAAAAAUAAAAAAAGGGAUAGAAGCCACAGUAACCGCAGUAGCCAUGGUGGCCACAGUAGCUAUAGAAGACGUAGAAGCCGUAGUAAUCACUGUAGUAACAGCGUAACAUUCAUCGUUAAGGAUCGAUCAAGUUAUCAACGCAGGAGUAAAAGUAGUUCACCAAUGAGCAGAUAUGUGAGAGCAAAAAGAAUAGACAAUUAUACGAAUCAAUCUUCAUUCCAACCUUUGUCUCGAUCUCUGUUUCGAUCUCCAUCUCGAUCUCCAUCUCGAUCUCCAUCAAAAAAUGAUCCUAAUAAAUCAUAUAAGCGAAAUGAUCGUGCAUCUUCAGACUAUCCCAUUCCAAAUUUACCGAUUUUCCCUUCAACUUACAACCUUGCAGCUUACAACCGUUUUCUUCCCAGACCAUCGCAGAUGUUACCACCUCCUAUGAUUUGGACAAGACCUUAUCCCAUGCAAUACCCAGUAUUACCAUCACCUAUGAUUAGAUGGCCAAUGCCUCCUCCCAGUAAGUUUGCAUAUUGCUAACUAAGAGCAA
rnacentral:misc_RNA from 1 species